rnacentral:rRNA from 1 species
UACAGGACGAACGCUGGCGGCGUGCUUAACACAUGCAAGUCGAACGGGAGUAUUGAAGAAGCUUGCUUAGAGAUACUUAGUGGCGGACGGGUGAGUAACGCGUGAGGAGCUGUCCUAUGCAGGGGGACAACAGCUGGAAACGGCUGCUAAUACCCCAUAAGCCGAGAGGUAAAAGGAUCAAUCCGGCAGAGGAGGUACUCGCGUCCUAUCAGCUAGUAGGUGAGGUAACGGCUCACCUAGGCGAAGACGGGUAGCCGGCCUGAGAGGGCGAACGGCCACACUGGAACUGAGAUACGGUCCAGACUCCUACGGGAGGCAGCAGUGGGGAAUAUUGGGCAAUGGGGGAAACCCUGAACCCCAGCGACGCCGCGUGGGUGAAGAAAUCCUUCGGGAUGUAAAGCCCUGUUGUAUGGGAAGAGCGGAAGACGGUACCAUACGAGGAAGCCCCGGCAAACUACGUGCCAGCAGCAGC